rnacentral:rRNA from 1 species
GGGAACUACGAGCCAAGCUUAAAACCCAAAGGACUUGACGGUACCCCAUAUCCCCCUAGAGGAGCCUGUCCUAUAAUUGAUAAUCCCCGUUUAACCUCACCAUUUCUAGCAACUCAGCCUGUAUACCUCCGUCGUCAGCUUACCACGUGAGCGCUAGUGAGCUCAAUGUUUUUCCAACUAAACGUCAGGUCAAGGUGCAACACAUGAAAUGGGAAGAGAUGGGCUACACUUUCUAACAUAGAUCACACGGAAGACUAACUAUGAAAUCUAGUCAGAAG